AGAGUUUGAUCAUGGCUCAGGACGAACGCUGGCGGCGUGCUUAACACAUGCAAGUCGAGCGGAAAGGCCCUUCGGGGUACUCGAGCGGCGAACGGGUGAGUAACACGUGAGCAACCUGCCCUUGGCUCUGGGAUAGCUCCGGGAAACCGGGAUUAAUACCGGACAUGACCUUCUGCUGCAUGGCAGUUGGUGGAAAGUUU
rnacentral:rRNA from 1 species